UUCCCCCUCUUUCUCUCCCCCACCUUUUCCUCCCUCGCACAGCCGCCGCCACCCUCCAUCACCACGUCUCCAAGCCAGCGCCGCUGUCGCCAGAGGAAAAUAGUAGGGGAACGCGCAGCCAUCGAUCCCGUGCACCGUCUCUCCCUCUACUUGAGGACUUGCGGCGAAGAAGUCGCCGGAGGCGGAGCUCGACCCGGACGACGGCAGCCAGAGGACGUCAAGGCCCCGCCGGAGGAGGAGCCUGGCUGGAGGAGAGUGUGGUGCAGCCGUGCAGGGUGCCUCACCACCAUCGUCGUCCUUGCCACCACGGGAGCCACUGAGGCCAGCCUCUCGUUCACACACAGGGCUUGAUGUGUGCUGCAAUUUAUUUGGCAUUAUGAACUCUAGCAUGACGAAUGGAUCUGGGGUGAUGGAUUUAACAAUCACUGGAGAUGGAUGCUGCCUUUGUGCAGUACUAGCAAUCAAAUGGAUUUGGGAUAAGGGAUUUGGAAUUGUGAAUGUGAGCAACCAAGCAAUCAGGCUUUUCAUCCGCCUGUUUUUGUGAAGGAGGUUUGCAGAAACAACAAUAGUGCAAAGCUUCACCGUCUCUGCAACACCAAUAUCCCUAAGGUACUUCUGCGCUAUCUUGACUGAACCUCAAGUUUUUUACAGACCAUAGCCUGUGUUCCUUGUCAUUUGUGGAGAUGAUAAUUUCUGAGAUUUUACUACUACUUGUGUGAUUACGAGAUUGAUGUCGAUCUGUUAGAGCUACAUGUUGAAUGGGGUGAAGAGGUCUACAAGGCUGCAAUCAAUUGUUUGGUGGAAAUUGAAGAAUGUGGCAGGCUGGCGGACAAAACCAUCAUACCCGAGAUUUGAAAUUACAAGGAGGACAGGAAGGCCACCUCCAGUGGAAGUGUUGAGUACAUGUGGAGCCAAGUGAAGCGUCUGGGAGGUGUGAAAGCCAGGGCGAUCGGUUGACGGUUAUGGUAUAAACUCAAUUGCUGAUAUUUUUUUACUGGUUUUGGUUACAAGUCUCGUGAAGAACUAAGGUUUCCAGCAGAAAAAAACUAAGAGCAUUAUGGUUUUCCCUUCCCAACAAUGAUGGAUACACCAGAACUCCAAUCAUCAGUUCAAUGUGUGAUGUUCGGACGUAGUUUUCCUGCAACGGCAUACACAGCCAGCGAGACUUUUUCUGCUAGGGAUGUACAAGGCACAGAUAUGGUGCAAUCUGCGCCGGAGACACAGACGAGCUCGAGCAAUAUGUGCCUUCGUCCUCUUCCCUCAGAGUGUGGGGCCGAGGAUAAGGACGAGGAGAAGAAAUAUGUGGCAUCUUCAUCGUUGUCCUCUUGGCGCGAGGUGCUGGAGAGACAGAAAAGGAGGCCGAGAGCUGUAAGUGCGGCAUAUUGUAGUGUUUUGUUUGAUGGGGAAAUACCUUUGUAUGCCAACAUAUUUUUAGUGGUUUGUUUGAUAGGAACUACCUUUGUAUGCCUGCAUAUUUUGCUUAGAUAUUGAUGAUUCCAUGCUAAAUU